rnacentral:lncRNA from 1 species
AGAAGGUGGAGGAAAGUUACACCCUUCUUUGCCAAAGGCUGGCUGGCUCAGCCCUCCCCGACAAGGUCUCAGAUAAAAGUUAGAGCCCCGUGUCCUGGAGGUGACUGCAGGUUUUGGAUUUUGAAUGUCGGCCCUGUAUCAACCACAUCCCGGCUCCAGUGGACACAAAGAGAGUGUGACAGAGGAUCUGCCUGGAACCACCUGGGCUCAGCCACGCCCCAGGGUGCCCCCAGUGGGACUAGUUCUUCAUUCUGGCAGCUGCACACAUCUGUCAGUGAGGGAAUGUCAGGUCUCUCACUCUCCUCUCCUCACUAUCAGAAAUGCAUUUUGAUUCAGAAUAAAAACCAAAUGUAUAGAGCUUUGGGUGUAGGAUAUGAAAUUGUACGUAGGUAAGAAAAAGAGAAAAUCAGAUGUAUUUAUUUGACUUCAUUCCAUAUUUGAAAGCACACUUUAAUUUUUACUUUGCCUUGUUUUGUUUUUAAUUGAGUAGUGAGAGUUUUUGCCCUUUGUAUUUAGCACACCCAAGGAUCAAUUGUUCCUGAAGCCAAGGUCAGGUCGGUCAGGGAUGGAGAGGUUAGUAGACAGGCAAUGCAGAAGAGGAAAGAGGACUACCUGGCCCUCACUAACCUGUAACCCCGCCCUCCUGUCCAGAAGGCUGCCUUCCUGAGGGUCAUCUCAGAGGUGCCGCAUGACUCCUGUGUGUGGAUGACACAGCUCUAGGGUUCCACCCCAGGAAACAAGAGUCCUCAGUACACUAAAUGGCAGGCACUUGAAAAUGGGUGUAUCCCUUGUUGUUGUCUGUUCUGUGGAUAGUUGGGCUUUGGGAGAGAAGAAAACAAAUUUUUAUUUUCUUGAUUAUAAAUUUGUUAUUCUUGGUAUUGUUGCAUUUGUAUAAUUACGCGUUGACUGGCACUUGUAUGAAAUAUUCCCUGCACAGUGAGCAGGAAAUAGGAACAAAGAAAUGGAAUGCUUCAGUGGUGGUGGGUGCUGCAGAGGGGUGGGGUGGGCGGGAGAGGAGUCCGAGAAGGUUUUGGAAACUGAAUCACUACUGAGUUGAACCAUGGCUGUCACUAGCCACGGGUACUGCUGAUUAUAAGGCCAGUAAAAAAAAUUAGUACCUGGAUGUUUGACUCUAAUUUUUUGCACUGAUGGUGCCAAAGGGCUCUGAGUCCCAUGCGGAGCUGAGGGAGGGCAGAGGAAAGUGUGAAGGAGAGCUGCUCGCAUAGCAUCGCUUCAGAGUGCUUUCUCUGACCUCACUGCAUGGCCCUGUCUGUAUGGCGCCAGAACUGGCCUUGGGAGCAGGGGACAGCGCUGAGCAGCGAAGCCUCCGAGGUGCUGACACUGAGGUGCUGACGCCGCUGGUGGCUGCAGUGUGAGCAGCACCUGUGGAGGGCAAGCUGGUCCGAGCUGCGACCUGCAGCUCCUUGAUUCUGAUGGUGUUCAGUGGCUUUCUUUGUGCAUUUGGUAAAUAUGUUUUUGGAGUGUUCUGUAAAAA